rnacentral:rRNA from 1 species
UGCAAGUCGAGCGGUAGCACAGAGAGCUUGCUCUCGGGUGACGAGCGGCGGACGGGUGAGUAAUGUCUGGGAAACUGCCUGAUGGAGGGGGAUAACUACUGGAAACGGUAGCUAAUACCGCAUAACGUCGCAAGACCAAAGUGGGGGACCUUCGGGCCUCAUGCCAUCAGAUGUGCCCAGAUGGGAUUAGCUGGUAGGUGGGGUAACGGCUCACCUAGGCGACGAUCCCUAGCUGGUCUGAGAGGAUGACCAGCCACACUGGAACUGAGACACGGUCCAGACUCCUACGGGAGGCAGCAGUGGGGAAUAUUGCACAAUGGGCGCAAGCCUGAUGCAGCCAUGCCGCGUGUGUGAAGAAGGCCUUCGGGUUGUAAAGCACUUUCAGCGGGGAGGAAGGCGGUGAGGUUAAUAACCUCAUCGAUUGACGUUACCCGCAGAAGAAGCACCGGCUAACUCCGUGCCAGCAGCCGCGGUAAUACGGAGGGUGCAAGCGUUAAUCGGAAUUACUGGGCGUAAAGCGCACGCAGGCGGUCUGUCAAGUCGGAUGUGAAAUCCCCGGGCUCAACCUGGGAACUGCAUUCGAAACUGGCAGGCUAGAGUCUUGUAGAGGGGGGUAGAAUUCCAGGUGUAGCGGUGAAAUGCGUAGAGAUCUGGAGGAAUACCGGUGGCGAAGGCGGCCCCCUGGACAAAGACUGACGCUCAGGUGCGAAAGCGUGGGGAGCAAACAGGAUUAGAUACCCUGGUAGUCCACGCUGUAAACGAUGUCGAUUUGGAGGUUGUGCCCUUGAGGCGUGGCUUCCGGAGCUAACGCGUUAAAUCGACCGCCUGGGGAGUACGGCCGCAAGGUUAAAACUCAAAUGAAUUGACGGGGGCCCGCACAAGCGGUGGAGCAUGUGGUUUAAUUCGAUGCAACGCGAAGAACCUUACCUGGUCUUGACAUCCACAGAACUUUCCAGAGAUGGAUUGGUGCCUUCGGGAACUGUGAGACAGGUGCUGCAUGGCUGUCGUCAGCUCGUGUUGUGAAAUGUUGGGUUAAGUCCCGCAACGAGCGCAACCCUUAUCCUUUGUUGCCAGCGGUCCGGCCGGGAACUCAAAGGAGACUGCCAGUGAUAAACUGGAGGAAGGUGGGGAUGACGUCAAGUCAUCAUGGCCCUUACGACCAGGGCUACACACGUGCUACAAUGGCAUAUACAAAGAGAAGCGACCUCGCGAGAGCAAGCGGACCUCAUAAAGUAUGUCGUAGUCCGGAUUGGAGUCUGCAACUCGACUCCAUGAAGUCGGAAUCGCUAGUAAUCGUAGAUCAGAAUGCUACGGUGAAUACGUUCCCGGGCCUUGUACACACCGCCCGUCACACCAUGGGAGUGGGUUGCAAAAGAAGUAGGUAGCUUAACCUUCGGGAGGGCGCUUACC